rnacentral:rRNA from 1 species
AGGGUUUGAUUAUGGCUCAGGAUGAACGCUGGCGGCGUGCCUAACACAUGCAAGUCGAACGAAGCGCCUGGCCCCGACUUCUUCGGAACGAGGAGCCUUGCGACUGAGUGGCGGACGGGUGAGUAACGCGUGGGCAACCUGCCUUGCACUGGGGGAUAACAGCCAGAAAUGGCUGCUAAUACCGCAUAAGACCGAAGCGCCGCAUGGCGCGGCGGCCAAAGCCCCGGCGGUGCAAGAUGGGCCCGCGUCUGAUUAGGUAGUUGGCGGGGUAACGGCCCACCAAGCCGACGAUCAGUAGCCGACCUGAGAGGGUGACCGGCCACAUUGGGACUGAGACACGGCCCAG